CCUACGGGAGGCAGCAGUGGGGAAUAUUGGGCAAUGGGCGCAAGCCUGACCCAGCAACGCCGCGUGAAGGAAGAAGGCUUUCGGGUUGUAAACUUCUUUUGACAGGGAAGAGCAGAAGACGGUACCUGUCGAAUAAGCCACGGCUAACUACGUGCCAGCAGCCGCGGUAAUACGGAGGUGGCAAGCGUUGUCCGGAUUUACUGGGGGUAAAGGGCGUGUAGCCGGGCUGACAAGUCAGAUGUGAAAUCCGGGGGCUCAACCCCCGAACUGCAUUUGAAACUGUUGGUCUUGAGUAUCGGAGAGGCAGGCGGAAUUCCUAGUGUAGCGGUGAAAUGCGUAGAUAUUAGGAGGAACACCAGUGGCGAAGGCGGCCUGCUGGACGACAACUGACGGUGAGGCGCGAAAGCGUGGGGAGCAAACAGGAUGAGAUACCCCUGUAGUC
rnacentral:rRNA from 1 species